GACCUUGCCUCUUGGCAAAACACAAAGCAGAGCCUCUUUUGGUUUGGUAGGUCUGGUGAUUACCGGAGUCGAAGAAUCAGAGGCGACAUAAGCAAAAAG
rnacentral:sRNA from 12 species